rnacentral:rRNA from 1 species
GACGAACGCUGGCGGCGUGCCUAAUACAUGCAAGUAGAACGCUGAAGGAGGAGCUUACUUCUCUGGAUGAGUUGCGAACGGGUGAGUAACGCGUAGGUAACCUGCCUGGUAGCGGGGGAUAACUAUUGGAAACGAUAGCUAAUACCGCAUAAGAGUAGAUGUUACAUGGCAUUUACUUAAAAGGUGCAAUUGCACCACUACCAGAUGGACCUGCGUUGUAUUAGCUAGUUGGUGGGGUAACGGCUUACCAAGGCGACGAUACAUAGCCGACCUGAGAGGGUGAUCGGCCACACUGGGACUGAGACACGGCCCAGACUCCUACGGGAGGCAGCAGUAGGGAAUCUUCGGCAAUGGACGGAAGUCUGACCGAGCAACGCCGCGUGAGUGAAGAAGGUUUUCGGAUCGUAAAGCUCUGUUGUAAGAGAAGAACGAGUGUGAGAGUGGAAAGUUCACACUGUGACGGUAUCUUACCAGAAAGGGACGGCUAACUACGUGCCAGCCGCCGCAGUAA